GUCUUCUCCUAGCUCAAAGACUCUGGGAAACACUUGACUCUUACCCCCCUGCUGGAAUGGACUAGAGAUGUCAGGCUGACAUGAGGCAGGUCAAGGGCAGCCACUUGGGCAGAAACAGGGUCCCAACUCUGUCUGUUCCUGGCUCUGGAAACCCCACCAGAAAGAAGGUCAUUGAGCAGAAAGACCUGUUGACUUCCUCACUUCAUUCAUCUGUUUAUAUUCCCUUGGACAUUUACCUUACUGAAGAAAGAAGUUGGGAAGGGAAAAAAACACGGUGGGGUGUUCAAUAAUAGGUCAGCUGCUUUCAAUACUCAGGCAUGAUCAGGACUGCCCAGCUUCUGGCCUAGAGGAAGGUAAGCCAGUGUAGGCAGACGAGAUAAGCAGGAGGGACAGCCUCAUUUUACAGCUCAUUUUUCUCCUACUUGGCUACCAACUCCCUGCCAAAUGAGUAGGUAUAGUUGCAACCCCUGUACAAUGGUAAAUUCCUUUAGCUUGCUUCUGGAUGGUUGAGUCACCUGGCAUGAGAAAGAAGACAAAAAGGAACGUUAUGAGAUCAAGACUGACCACAGUCCAGGGUCUAAGAAACUGGUCACAGUUGAAUCUUCUUCAGGAAGAGACUUAUGGAAAGGAUGUAGCUCAUACCUGUAACACCAGUACUCAGAAGGCAGAGACGUGGAGAUGGAGAAUUGGAGCCCAACUGGGGUACUUAGUGAAUCCAAAGCUUCCCUGAGCUACACAUGGAAACAAAACAAACCUUAGAACCAGAUCUGGCCAUUACCAGCAGGCUGGGUUGGCAAUCAGAGCCCAUGACUACAGAAUGAGCUCCGGGUUCCUUAGAAGAAACAGGCCAAUUUGCAUAGCAGCUUCCACCUCCUCAGAGUCCCAGCGUCUCCUCGCCCCCUGCGGACUCACGUUCCUCCUCUUUCUGGGAACAUAAACAAUUGCUGGAGACAAGAUCAAGGUGUGAACUUGUUCCGUGUCUUAUUGGCCUUUUAUGUCCUAGGCACCAGGCAUGUGGCAGCAUUACAGCUAUAGCUCUCCCAGUCUAGGGGAUUCAUAGUGAUCAGGAAUGGUAACUGCUCUAUGGUGAACCGGUCUCAGAGAAGCACACACAGACAUCAACAGGAGAAAAUCAAGAUUGAUCUGGUCGGUAAAGACACCAUGAUCCACUUUAGAUUCAGUUGAUCCAGUGGGUCUCAGCUCAGACAACAGAGGGGGCUCAAUGACUGCUCCUCAUACUGUGGGAUGCCUCACCACAGGGGAGCCAGUUUUAGGCUGCUGCUAAGAGGUAUAGAUCCUGCCUCAGUAUGGGGGGGUCAGAAAGCCCCGUGUCCCCAUCAAGACUUGAGAGGAGAUGGAAAUUUGUCCUGACAGCCUUCUAGCCUCUCCCGGGCCAGGAAGAUCACACGUGAGCUUCAUUGUGUGUGGACAAUGCCCAGUGCAACACUGUCACAGCAAAGCCAUUCUUCAGCGACUCCAUCCUGACUCUCACAUAUCCAGCUAAGAAAUCUCAGGACCGCGGCCACUCCAUCGGAGACUCGUUAGUUGUACAGCUUGGGAUGUGAGAGGCCCGUUUUUCUUUUCUUUUUAAACUUUCUGGACCUACUUUAUUGAAUCUUUGAGUACAAAAAGGUACAUGCUGGGCAAUGAUCUAAUAAAUUGUGUGGUAGUUGCAAUCGUUUUCGUUGUUUGGAUUUAAAUUCCAUUUCAUGUGUCUUGAGUGAUUUUUUUUCU